rnacentral:rRNA from 1 species
UAUUAUUCUUAGAUAAAAAUAUUCUUAGGUUAGUAAUAGUUAUUUACUUAAAAGCUAAAAAAUUUGGCGGUAAUUUAAUCUUUCCAGAGGAACUUGUUUUUUAAUCGAUAAACCUCGAAUAAUCUUACUUACCUUGGUAGAAGUUUGUAUACCAUCAUUAUCAGGCAAUUUUUAAAAAAGUAAUUUCUAAGUCUAAAAUUUAUAUAAAAAUUAGAUCAUGGUGCAGCUGAUAGGUAAGUUAAAAUGAGUUACAAUAAAGCUUUUUAUAACGGAGUAAUUAGAGAACAAUAAUUAUGAAGGAGGAUUUGGUAGUAUUGAAAAUUUAAUAUGUUUUUAAGAUGAUAGCUCUAAAUUAUGUACAUAU